rnacentral:RNase_P_RNA from 1 species
UCAGAUGGACAGGGCAUAGCCGUCGCAAUUUUGUGGCGGAGGAAAGUCCGGACUGCACGGGACGACAUACAGGCUAACAGCCUGGCGGGGUGACCCGACGAUUAGAGGAACAGUAACGCACGCGAUUAAAUUCGUAUGAAACGGCCAAUCUCUAUGUGCAGCAACUUCAAAUAGGCCACCAAUUGAUUGUCCCGAUCAGGUGGCGGGUAGAGGGCUUGACGCCCGAUGGUAACAUUGGGUGCAGAUUAAUUAUGUCCGUUACCCCACGAUUGUUAGAAAUGACAAUGUGGGGCAGCACAGAAUCCGGCUUAUCGUUUAUCUGGUAAU